UUUUUUUUAUUAAAUAAUACUUAAGUUCAGAAUUUGUUAAAAAUAAAAAUUUAAUAAAUAAUUAAAAAUAUUAUAAAAUUAUAAAUAUUAUAAAUAUUAUAAAAUUUUGUUUGCAUGAUUUAGCUUACUGAAAAUUAUCUCACAAAUCAUGCAUUUGUCUAAUGUAAAUCACCCAACAACAAUUUAUAUUCAUAGUUGUAAAAUUCUAAAAUUAAUACUUAUUAAUCUUCAUCUUCUUCACUAUCUUCUUCUUCUUCCUCAUUUUCGUUUAUCGCUUCACCAUCUUCUUCUUCUUCCUCAUUCUCGUUUACCGCUUGACCACCAACCGAUCCAAAUCCGUC
rnacentral:lncRNA from 1 species